rnacentral:rRNA from 1 species
AAAGAUUAAGCCAUGCAUGUCUAAGUAUAAGCAACUUGUACAGUGAAACUGCGAAUGGCUCAUUAAAUCAGUUAUCGUUUAUUUGAUAAUCCCUUACUACAUGGAUACCUGUGGUAAUUCUAGAGCUAAUACAUGCUUCAAGGAGUGGCUUUCGUCACUCUGCACUUAUUAGAUAAAAAACCAAUGCCCCUUUGGGCCUCCUUGGUGAUUCAUAAUAAUUUAGCGGACCGCAUUCCCUCGAGGAGGCGGUGGAUCAUUCAAAUUUCUACCCUAUCAACUUUCGAUGGUAGGAUAGUGGCCUACCAUGGUUU